rnacentral:rRNA from 1 species
CGGGGAAUAUUGCACAAUGGGCGAAAGCCUGAUGCAGCAACGCCGCGUGAGUGAUGACGGUCUUCGGAUUGUAAAGCUCUGUCUCUGGGGACGAUAAUGACGGUACCCAAGGAGGAAGCCACGGCUAACUACGUGCCAGCAGCCGCGGUAAUACGUAGGUGGCAAGCGUUGUCCGGAUUUACUGGGCGUAAAGGGUGCGUAGGCGGACCUUUAAGUGAGAUGUGAAAUCCCCGAGCUUAACUUGGGGGCUGCAUUUCAAACUGGAGGUCUAGAGUGCAGGAGAGGAGAGUGGAAUUCCUAGUGUAGCGGUGAAAUGCGUAGAGAUUAGGAAGAACACCAGUGGCGAAGGCGACUCUCUGGACUGUAACUGGCGCUGAGGCACGAAAGCGUGGGGAGCAAACAG